rnacentral:rRNA from 1 species
GCACAAGCAGCGGAGCGUGUGGUUUAAUUCGUUGCUACACGAAGAACCUUACCUGGGUUUGACAUAUGGGUGGUAGGAACCGAAAGGGGACCGACCUUCGGGAGCCCAUACAGGUGCUGCAUGGCUGUCGUCAGCUCGUGCCGUGAGGUGUUCGGUUAAGUCCGGUAACGAGCGCAACCCUCGUCGUCAGUUACAAGUGUCUGACGAGACUGCCCGUGAUAAGCGGAGGAAGGUGGGAUGACGUCAAGUCAGCAUGGCCUUUAUAUCCAGGGCUACACACACGCUACAAUGGCCGGUACAAUGGGUCGCCAACCCGUGAGGGGGAGCCAAUCCAAUAAAGCCGGUCUCAGUUCGGAUUGCAGGCUGCAACCCGCCUGCAUGAAGUCGGAGUUGCUAGUAACCGCAGGUCAGCAAUACUGCGGUGAAUACGUUCCCGGGUCUU